rnacentral:rRNA from 1 species
AUGAAGCCCCCCUCAAGAUGAGAUUUCCCAACUUCGGUUAUAAGAUCCCUCAAAGAUGAUGAGGUUAAUAGGUUCGAGGUGGAAGCAUGGUGACAUGUGGAGCUGACGAAUACUAAUCGAUCGAAGACUUAAUCAAAA